CUUGGUCCUGGAGAAGGCUUCUUAGGCUUCUUUAUUGCUCCCCCAGGUGCUGUGACUUUGGCUUUGGGUCUCUCAACUGUGACAGAGCCACACUGCCCUGGGGUUGCAGGCGUCAGGGGAACUGGCACCACUAUGCUGAUGCUUCCCUUGCUCACUCUGCUGCCAUGAACAGUCAUUUGUCUUCCUGCUACAGUCUCCAGAGUUGCAACAAGGCACCCUGCUCAUUGCUUGGUCAUGUCCUUUAGAGUCUUGUUACUUUUUGCCAUCUCUUGAGAGCCUGGGAUUUUUCCCAAAGUGGCAUAAAGUUCAGGAUGCCAAGGUAGGUAACCCCUCUUUGGAAGAAAAAAGGCAGAGACGUUGGAAACUCCCUGGGGCUGCUAGCAAUUGUUAUUGCCCAAAUGGUACAGAAGCAGGCUGGAGAUGACCCACCUCUGUCCUACGUGUGAAUGAGCACAAGUUGGAGGCUCCAUGGAUGGGACUGGAGGUGAGGGAUGACAUUUAAUCAGCUGCCCUGGUGGCACAUGCUCUCCUGUGGGACGAUACUCACGGAGCAUUCUGGGCCCCAUCAGAGAGGAAAGCAUAAUUGUGCCAAGUUUUUUUCGCAACCAAGAAUAUCUGGAGGGCAUUAUGUCCCACAGAGCACAUCCAUUAUGAGCGGGGAAGGAGGAAAGUGCAGGGGUGCUGUCCUCAACACUGAAGAGCUGUCAGAAACUGG
rnacentral:lncRNA from 1 species